rnacentral:rRNA from 1 species
GAGUGGCGGACGGGUGAGUAACGCGUGGGUAACCUGCCUCAUACAGGGGGAUAACAGUUGGAAACGACUGUUAAUACCGCAUAAGACCACAGCACCGCAUGGUGCGGGGGUAAAAACUCCGGUGGUAUGAGAUGGACCCGCGUUCGAUUAGCCAGUUGGCGGGGUAACGGCCCACCAAAGCGACGAUCGAUAGCCGAUCUGAGAGGAUGACCGGCCACAUUGGGACUGAGACACGGCCCAAACUCCUACGGGAGGCAGCAGUGGGGAAUAUUGCACAAUGGGGGAAACCCUGAUGCAGCGACGCCGCGUGAGUGAAGAAGUAUUUCGGUAUGUAAAGCUCUAUCAGCAGGGAAGAAAAUGACGGUACCUGAGUAAGAAGCCCCGGCUAACUACGUGCCAGCAGCCGCGGUAAUACGUAGGGGGCAAGCGUUAUCCGGAUUUACUGGGUGUAAAGGGAGCGCAGACGGCUCUGCAAGUCUGAAGUGAAAGCCCGCGGCUUAACCGCGGGACUGCUUUGGAAACUGCAAGGCUUGAGUAUCGGAGGGGCAGGCGGAAUUCCUAGUGUAGCGGUGAAAUGCGUAGAUAUUAGGAAGAACACCGGUGGCGAAGGCGGCCUGCUGGACGAAAACUGACGUUGAGGCUCGAAGGCGUGGGGAGCAAACAGGAUUAGAUACCCUGGUAGUCCACGCGGUAAACGAUGAAUACUAGGUGUUGGUGCCCGAAGGGCAUCGGUGCCGUCGCAAACGCAAUAAGUAUUCCACCUGGGGAGUACGUUCGCAAGAAUGAAACUCAAAGGAAUUGACGGA